GAAAUAUAUUAUCCUCCUUCUUUCUGAAUCUCUUUCAGCUUUUUGGAAGUAACCCCCCUUUUAGCCAAAAAUGUAAAUAUUUGCAGAAACCUCGCAAAUCACCCUGAAAUGAAGCAUCAAUUUCAUGAAUCUGAAUAUCCUACAGUGAGAUGCCCUUCAUUAUUGAAGACGCUAGUCGGUGAAGAAGCUGCUGUAUUCUGAGGCAUGAUAAGGCACAUGUAUAUCUCAAUCAACAGGAGUGAAUAAAGAUGAAUCACAUACUACAUUAUCACUCUCUAUAAUUGUAUCAUAUUGUUUCUUCUUUUUUUUUUCCUUCAAUCAGAUGUAAUUUAAAGGUCCCAAAAGCGACAAAUAAUAAAAUGUUCCAUAUAUGCUGGCCACAAGCAAUUUCAAAUUCAAAUCUUCUUCAUGUAAACUAGACCAAAAAUAGUAUUCUGAUGUGUCUACCCAAGAAAAAA